CGCACCGAGUCGACGCUAACAGUUAUAGGCUCCUUUAGUUUUUCCAAUGCGUGAGAAAAUCGAUGCAUGGCGUGAGGGCGUGUGACAAGUGUCAAUUGCGUGAGUCUCAAGCUCAGUGCGUGAGAGUUGGCAGCUCUGCGUUUAAUUUGGAGAUAACCAGCCACUGCUAACCUUGCCAGCAGCCCCGCUUGAUCUAACGUUACUACGCACUAUGCAGUGAGUGAGAUAAUUGCAAACUGUGCAGUGUAACCUUAGCUAACAAGUUAUUAGCUAACAUUUAUGGGUUAACUGCCAAAACUAGACUAGAGAGAGACUGUGGAGAUUUUGACCCUAUACCACCAUUUGACUGAACACCACAAUGUUUCACAUACUGUCAGCACUGAGCAGAGUUAGUUAAUGUAACCAGGCCACAGCCGAGGUUAACCUUGAUUUUGUAGUGUGGCUAAUUAGCAGAAUAAACUGUUAAGUGGCUACAGCUGGUUCAAAAUUCUGCAGCACCACUGUCACAGUAGUGUUAUGUUAAAUUUGCUAUUUGAAGUCGUAUACCCUAAUGAAAAAAACAACAACACUACAGCCAUCAGGAGGUGAAGGUUAACGGGGUUCCAGCUGCCUUCACCCAUUGUGAGUACUGGCUCCAGGCUCACACUGUGGCUACUGUCUGACUACGCGGUCAGUGGGCAGGGAUUUAAAGCUGUCUAUGAAGCAGUGUUUCAUAGCUGAAUGGGGGAAAAGCAUCUGUCCUGCUGAGCAAAAUCUCUCAAAUAUCCUAACUAAAGAAAGAAAACAAAGCCACGACUGGGACCUUUAUCAUGAUGACGUGGAAUGCUUUAUGACCCGUGGUGGGAUAAUAUUAAUGAUGGCACUCGUCAAACCCACGCAGGAGUAAAGGCGAGCUUAGGGAGGGGAAGGAAAUACAAGCGAGUGACUAAUUAGGCUAAUUACCUGACAGGAGUUUGUCAGUCUUUUUGAGAUAUUGUGAAUGUAGGGAUGUGGCUCGAUGAAGCAACAUCAAGCGACUCGGGAGGCCUAAGACCACAUUGCGUGACUAGAUAAAACCAAAGACAAAAGAGCAAAGAGACUGUUUGUUAACUCCACUGGGAGGCAAUUGGGGAGUCGUGCCUUUCAU